UACGGAGGGCGCGAGCGUUAAUCGGAAUUACUGGGCGUAAAGCGCGCGUAGGCUGUUGUGUAAGUUGGGGGUGAAAUCCCACGGUUCAACCGUGGAACAGCCCUUGAUACUGCGCGACUUGAAUCCGGGAGAGGGUGGCGGAAUUCCAGGUGUAGGAGUGAAAUCCGUAGAUAUCUGGAGGAACAUCAGUGGCGAAGGCGGCCACCUGGACCGGUAUUGACGCUGAGGCGCGAAAGCGUGGGGAGCAAACAGG
rnacentral:rRNA from 1 species